AUGUCGGCGCCAGCAUCUACUCGCUGUGGUUCCAAGAGCGCGCGAGGCACCUGCAGUGGCGUCGACAGGCUCAGCAGCCUUCCCAGUGAGCUGCUCCACCGCGUGAUGUCCUUCCUGCCCAUGCCGGAGGCCGUGCGCACAAGUCUGCUCUCGCCGAGCUGGCGCUAUCUCUGGGCAUCUACUCCAUACAUCCGCAUCGACCACCACAACUUCACGGAUGACAACGAAAAGAUGGAGAAGUUCGGGGACCGCCUGCUGCUCUUGCGCGACAGCACUGCUUCCUUGGAUGAAGCCCGGAUCAUUGACCACUCGGUUGCUAGUACCACAUGUACUGUGUGGAUUCGACAUGUCAUCAUGCACAAAGUUCGUCACCUCCAUGUUUCCGGAUUGGGCCAUCUGGAUAGCUCAGCCGUGCCUCCUUCUAACCACCUCAAAACAAUCAGGCUCCAAUUUGUCAUAUUGGGAGAUGGGCUCUUGAGGCCGCUCAACUACGACUCCCGAGUGCUUCAACUUCUACAGCUGGAGGAUUGCGUUUUGGUUGACCUGAAGGAGAUCUCAUCCAGGUCACUCAAGGUUCUGCAUAUCAUUAACUGCCUUAUCACCGGGAGUCUCCUGAUUUGUGCUAGCAAUCUUACCCAUCUCUCUAUCCUAGACAUGCAUAGUCAUUCCGGAGCUAUAUUAGUUAGGGAUCUGUCUUCUCUAGUAACAGCCUUUGUUAGUGUAAGGACAAUAGAGGGCCAUGGUCUACUUGAUGGCCUCUCACAUGCCACAUCCUUGGAGUUGCAUGCACCAUUACUUGAGAGAGGUUUGUGGAUAUGCCCAAUGUUCAGCAACCUGACAAGCCUAGUGCUGGGCCAUUGCUGCAUGGCUGCUGAUUUCGACGCGCUGCUUUGCAUUCUCCAGCGCUCGCCCAAGCUGAAGGAGUUGACUUUUAAGCUCGAAAGAGUGCAAUGUAUAAGGUGCAUGCAUUCUGAAUCUACUUUGCCACCAUCAGGAGCAGCGUUGAGCUUGGGCUCCCACCCUUGCAUCGAGAGGAUCAAGAUCUGCUGCUCGAAAGAACAUCCAAGUGUCGGCACGCUGGUGGAGGCCUUGCAACCGAUUGUCGGUGAUGUGAAAAUCAGCAUCAAGCAUCUCUAUUAA
rnacentral:rRNA from 1 species